GUGUCCACUUUGGCAACACAUAUACUAAAAUUGGAACGAUACAGAGAAGAUUAGCAUAGCCCCUGUGCAAGGAUGACAUGCAAAUUCAUGAAGCGUUCCAUAUUUUU
ensembl:snRNA U6 U6 spliceosomal RNA